CGGACGGGUGAGUAACGCGUGAGAAUCUGGCUUUAGGUCUGGGACAACCACUGGAAACGUUGGCUAAUACCGGAUGUGCCCGUAAUUGGGUGAAAGGUUAACUGCCUGAAGAUGAGCUCGCGUCUGAUUAGCUAGUUGGAAGUGUAAUGGACUCCCAAGGCGACGAUCAGUAGCUGGUCUGAGAGGACGAUCAGCCACACUGGGACUGAGACACGGCCCAGACUCCUACGAGAGGCAGCAGUGGGGAAUUUUCCGCAAUGGGCGAAAGCCUGACGGAGCAAUACCGCGUGAGGGAGGAAGGCUCUUGGGUCGUAAACCUCUUUUCUCAGGGAAGAACACAAUGACGGUACCUGAGGAAUAAGCAUCGGCUAACUCCGUGCCAGCAGCCGCGGUAAUACGGAGGAUGCAAGCGUUAUCCGGAAUGAUUGGGCGUAAAGCGUCCGCAGGUGGCAAUGUAAGUCUGCUGUUAAAGAGUCUAGCUCAACUAGAUACAAGCAGUGGAAACUACAUAGCUAGAGUACGUUCGGGGCAGAGGGAAUUCCUGGUGUAGCGGUGAAAUGCGUAGAGAUCAGGAAGAACACCAGUGGCGAAGGCGCUCUGCUAGGCCGUAACUGACACUGAGGGACGAAAGCUAGGGGAGCGAAUGGGAUUAGAUACCCCAGUAGUC
rnacentral:rRNA from 1 species